AACAAACGCUGGCGGCGUGCCUAACACAUGCAAGUCGAACGCGAAAAUCGGCUUCGGCCGAUGAGUAAAGUGGCGCACGGGUGAGUAACGCGUGGAUAAUCUACCCUUCAGUUGGGAAUAACUUAUCGAAAGGUGAGCUAAUACCGAAUAAAACUGCCUGACCACGGUCGGGUAGUCAAAGAUAGCCUCUGCUUGCAAGCUUUCGCUGAAUGAUGAGUCCGCGUACCAUUAGCUAGUUGGUGGGGUAAUGGCCUACCAAGGCGACGAUGGUUAGCUGGUCUGAGAGGAUGAUCAGCCACACUGGAACUGAGACACGGUCCAGACUCCUACGGGAGGCAGCAGUGAGGAAUCUUGCGCAAUGGGGGAAACCCUGACGCAGCAACGCCGCGUGAGUGAGGAAGGUCUUCGGAUCGUAAAGCUCUGUCGGGUGGAAAGAAAUGUAUGGGGUUAAUAGCCUUCAUACUUGACGGUACCACCAAAGGAAGCACCGGCUAACUCCG
rnacentral:rRNA from 1 species